GUCUAUGGCCAUACCACCCUGAACCCGCCCUAUCUCAUCUGAUCUGGGAAGCUAACCAGGGUCGGGCCUGGUUAGUACUUGGAUGGGAGAUAAAUGGGAAGCGGAAGAAGAGAUGGAGU
rnacentral:rRNA from 1 species